rnacentral:tRNA from 1 species
GGAGGGGUGGAUCGAACGGAAAGACGCGGGUUUCGAAAACCCGUGGGUGAAAGCCCUUGUGGGUUCGAAUCCCACCCCCUCCG